rnacentral:misc_RNA from 1 species
AACGCAAAUUGCGCUCGAGGCUUCGGCCAAGAGCAUGUCUGCCUCAGCGUCGGGUUAAUACUCACAUGCCCAUUCCCAGGAAUAGGUGUGUGGAUCUGGCUGUCUCGGUUCGUGCCUUCUUUAACGAGAGGGUAUAGUUUAACCGGGUCGGCUGAAGUGCAGAUGUCAAAGCAUGGACCGUUAAUCGGGCCUCUACUGGGUAGGCAACUCGUUUGCUGCAUCGCUUUAGUAGAUGGCUUGGGUACUGCCUUUGGCACAAAGCAGGAGUAUCUGUUAAUUCAGGUACAACCAAUACCAUUUUCUCGACCUGAGCUCAGGCAAGAUUACCCGCUGAACUUAA